UGUCCGCCCGAGGCUGACCUGCUCGCCUUCGCAGGACCUUCAAUACAACCUGCCGGUCGCUGAUCCCGAGCCCACCUGCGUUCCUGCUGGUCCAGGAGCUGAUCAGAUGGAGUCACUGAUUUGGGCUGUGUCUUAACCUAACGUCUUAAGGAACCAAAGAAAGAGACAACGUCCUUGGAGAAUCUGGUUAGAUUUUAGCACUUCCAGUCAACAUGUGAAGUGGAAGAAGAUAGAAAGACUUUACCAGUUUCUUGACGUUUUGACCAAUGAUAACUUGUACUCAUGCUGAUUUUUACUCCUGAAUAUUCCAAUAUGACACACAGUGUAAUUCUUCUUGGUUUGUAAAACAGCCUUAUCACAAAACAAAUUGUUCUUCUUCCUGUUAUCCACCACACAUGAAAGUCAGAUGAGAUAAACCUAAUUUGUACAAAAAGUGUAAAACUAUUUCAGAAACACUUAAUUCGUUUUCCUUAACUUCGGCUUAUUUUUAAAAAUUGGUUUAGGUGUAUAAGUGUCCAGAUUUCUGGUUUAUCCACUGUUCUGCUUUGUCUGAAGACACUCUUAAAUUCUCUCCAUCUUAAUUUCCUCAUCUUGUGGAAAUAAAAUGGCACUACCUAUGAUCAAAGUUACCGUGAAAACAAUUAAAAUAUAAAUAUUGCAAUUUAA